rnacentral:rRNA from 1 species
AACGCGGGGCAACCUGGCGACGAGUGGCGAACGGGUGAGUAAUGCAUCGGAACGUGCCCAGUAGUGGGGGAUAGCCCGGCGAAAGCCGGAUUAAUACCGCAUACGACCUAAGGGUGAAAGCGGGGGAUCGCAAGACCUCGCGCUAUUGGAGCGGCCGAUGUCGGAUUAGCUAGUUGGUGGGGUAAAAGCCUACCAAGGCGACGAUCCGUAGCUGGUCUGAGAGGACGACCAGCCACACUGGGACUGAGACACGGCCCAGACUCCUACGGGAGGCAGCAGUGGGGAAUUUUGGACAAUGGGCGCAAGCCUGAUCCAGCCAUGCCGCGUGCGGGAAGAAGGGCUUCGGGUUGUAAACCGCUUUUGUCAGGGAAGAAACG